AUGACGAUGACGAUGAUGAUGAUGAUGAGAAUGAAGUGGAGGGGAUUGUUACAGUUGAAAAUAGUGAUCAUCAGAAUAAUAAUAGUGAUAAAGUUAAUAGUAAUAGUAGUGGUAAAGUAGUUGGCAGUGAUAAAACGAGAAGUGUUUCUACAUUUGGUGUGAAGGAAGGGAAUGUUGGGCCGUCGGGAAAUGAAGGUGGUGUCGACGUGAGAAAUGCUGUGAUAAUUGCUAGUGUUGAUGGGGAUAUGUAUUAUAAUCAGUAUUUGCAGGGACCGGAAGGGUCAAAUGCAGCACAGAAGGAAAUGGGGUUUGAGAAUGGGUGUGGAUUUAGUGGGAGAAAGGAAGCUCAUUAUUCAAAUGAAUCAGGAGAGUCAUUGAGAACUAUUCUUUCCGAUCCUAUUACGGGAGAGCUUAUGGAUGAUGCAAUGAUAUUGCCUUGUGGGCAUUCCUUUGGUAGCGGUGGGGUUCAGCAUGUAAUUAGAAUGAAAGUUUGCUAUAUCUGUUCACAAGCGGUGUCCGAAGACUCACUGUCACCUAAUUUAUCUCUUCGAUCUGCAAUUCAAGCAUUCCGCCGAGAAGAGGAGUCACAUCUUAAUCGCUCUUUAAAAAGAAGAAAGGAGAGAUAUGAUCAGGAUAGAGGGACCUUUGGUGAUUCAGCACUUCCUGAUCAUCUAAGAGGAAGAGGAGUUCAGUUUCCAUUCGCUGUGACAGACAGGGUUAUAAUAAAGGGCAACAAAAG
rnacentral:misc_RNA from 1 species